GCGUGGCCAUUAUGUCGGAAGUUCUUUUCUCCCGCGGAUUCUUUUCUCAGCCAGCGGCUCCUGUUCUUCGGCUCCCGUCCUCCGCUAGGUGAGCGGCAGCGAGAGGAACAGGCGCGCUCGCCUACCCGCUUCCCUGUUCAUUUCUCCCCGAGUGGUUUGCAUUCUGCCCACGCUAAGAGGCUUCUUUCCGGGUCAUCCUCAGCCAAGAGGGCCCAAUCCGCACGCAGCCUCCUGUGCCCAUCAAAUCCUGGCUGCACCCUGUGGCUCAGCGUAAGCCAGCAGCAAGAGCCUGAGAGCUGGCAGGAAUCUGCACUCAUACAUUUAAAAGCUCAUGCAGAUUUAUGCAAACGUGCUUCAACAUUCAGGUUCUGUACUGUACUUGAAUGUUUCUAGCCACUUCCUUUCUUAUGAAGCUUCCAUUCGCCUGGGUAGCUUCUCAUCUUCUCAGAAGCCAUUCAUUCUACAUGUACCUGUGAGACGCAGGUGAACCAUGAUGGCAGAAUGGUCCAUCUGGGCUGCCCACAGCCACACAGCCAUCUCUUUGCCAGCUGGGAGCAGCAGCCUCAGCCUCUAUUGGGGGUGGUGUCCAUAGCAGGUCCUUCCCCAUGCAAACUGCAAGCUUCUCUCCCCCUUUUGGAAAUGCUGUCCUGCCUAUGUCACACCUUGAGUGGAAUAAGUGCAAUAAAGCUGGAUCAUAUGGAUAAAAAACUUUAAUGCUAGAAUGGUAUUGUCUCAGUCACUUGGCGAUACUUCCUGACAUCCCCAUCACCAAAAGCGGUCCCGGAGCAUCCCUUUAUUCAGCCUGCUACCCCUCCUCUUCUCUGAUCUCUGGCAGAGGGCACAGGAAGUCAUGCCACCACACAGAGACCUUGUUGCUUGCUAUGGCUAUAUGAAGCUAGACCUCCUUAUCUGUAUAGAAGCAGCAACAAAAGAAAGUCAAGCAGACUGUUCUCUGCAAAAGCAAGGCAGUGCCUGAGCAAAAGCUGGCCACUUGCUAGAUUCAGAGCCUGUCAGCAGGCAGAGCUGAAACACUUGACAGGCAGGUGUGGAUUCCAUUGCAGGUGACUGUCCAGUAACUUGAGCCCAAGAGCAGCUGGUGCU